CCCCCCCUACAACCCCAAAAUCUUGGAGUGUAGUAACAAUGAGCUAAAAACCUUUCAAAAAACCAGCGAUAGAGAGAAAGCUAAUACUAGUUGAGUUGUUGGAGCAAAAGAGAAGAAUUGGAGAUGGAGGCAAGCUCCGGUUAUUAGGACUAUGUGGCAGGUCUUAUGGCCGGAAUUUAUACUGUUAUUACCGGUCAUCCUUUUGAAUUUUGAUACCGUCAAGGUGCACUAUUUUGACACACUGUUUUCUCGGCCCUGGCACAAGCCAUUUUAAGGGCUAAAUAUCACUAAGGAGAAGAACUCCAAACGAUGUUAGCACAGUUUUGAAGAUAUCUGUGUUAAUCUCUGCCUUUCAAAGGAAACAAAAGAAUCUUUUUGCUCAAAGAAUAGAAUAUUAGAGGAUUGGCCCCGGAAACAUGUUUGGAGGACCAGAAUGCCACUCAAAGUAGCAUGCAUGCCUCACAUGGACUGCCUUCAAUGAAGCUGUUUUAACACAGGACAAUCUUAGCAGAAGGAGCAUUACUUUAGUCAUCAGAUGUUAUAUGUGCCAACAGAAAUCAGAAAGUGUUAACCAUCUGUUUCUUCAUUGCCCAGUCACUUCUGAUAUUUGGAACUUCUUCCUAUCCAUUUUCGGUAUAACUUGGAUCAUGCCUCACACCACCAAGGAAGCCUAUAUUAGCUGAAUUUUUUGGAGAGUUGACAAAGCCAUCAAAAGAAUAUGGAGAAUGAUCCCAGAAGUCAUAUUUUGGAUUGUUUGGAAGGAAAGAAAUGGUUGAUGUUUUGAUGGAAUAUCAACUCCAACACAUUCCCUAAAAGCUACUCCCUCCGUUUCAAAUUAGAUGAGGUACUUUCCUUUUUAGUCUGUUCCAAAAUAAAUGACACAUUUUUAAAUUUGA